UACAGAGGGUGCGAGCGUUGUUCGGAAUCAUUGGGCGUAAAGGGCGUGUAGGCGGUUUGUUAAGUCAUGUGUGAAAUCCCUCGGCUCAACCGGGGAAGGACGCAUGAAACUGGCAAGCUAGAGUACCAAAGAGGGGGGUAGAAUUCCACGUGUAGCAGUGAAAUGCGUAGAGAUGUGGAGGAACACCGAUGGCGAAGGCAGCCCCCUGGGCCAAGACUGACGCUCAUGCACGAAAGCGUGGGGAGCAAACAGG
rnacentral:rRNA from 1 species